ACUGCUAUCGGAUUGAUACUAAGCCAUGCGAGUCAUUGUAGUAAUACAAGGCAGACGGCUCAGUAACGCGUAGUCAACCUACCCUAUGGACGGGAAUAAUCUCGGGAAACUGAGAAUAAUGCCCGAUAGAACAUUAUGCCUGGAAUGGUUUAUGUUCCAAAUGAUUUAUCGCCGUAGGAUGGGACUGCGUCCUAUCAGUUUGUUGGUGAGGUAAUGGCCCACCAAGACUAUUACAGGUACGGGCUCUGAGAGGAGUGGCCCGGAGAUGGGUACUGAGACACGGACCCAGGCCCUAUGGGGCGCAGCAGGCGAGAAAACUUUGCAAUGUGCGAAAGCACGACAAGGUUAAUCCGAGUGGUUUCUGCUAAAGGAACCUUUUGUCGGUCCUAGAAACACCGAUGAAUAAGGGGUGGGCAAGUUCUGGUGUCAGCCGCCGCGGUAAAACCAGCACCUCAAGUUGUCAGGAUGAUUAUUGGGCCUAAAGCAUCCGUAGCCGGCUCUGUUAGUUUUCGGUUAAAUCUAUACGCUCAACGUAUAGGCUGCCGGGAAUACUGCAGAGCUAGGGAGUGGGAGAGGUAGACGGUACUCGGUAGGAAGGGGUAAAAUCCUUUGAUCUAUUGAUGACCACCUGUGGCGAAGGCGGUCUACCAGAACACGUCCGACGGUGAGGGAUGAAAGCUGGGGGAGCAAACCGGAUUAGAUACCCGGGUAGUCCCAGCUGUAAACCAUGCAAACUCAGUGAUGCAUUGGCUUGUGGCCAAUGCAGUGCUGCAGGGAAGCCGUUAAGUUUGCCGCCUGGGAAGUACGUACGCAAGUAUGAAACUUAAAGGAAUUGGCGGGGGAGCACCACAAGGGGUGAAG
rnacentral:rRNA from 1 species